rnacentral:rRNA from 1 species
UACGUAGGGUGCGAGCGUUGUCCGGAAUUAUUGGGCGUAAAGAGCUUGUAGGCGGUCUGUCGCGUCUGCUGUGAAAAUCCGGGGCUCAACCCCGGACUUGCAGUGGGUACGGGCAGACUAGAGUGUGGUAGGGGAGACGUGGAAUUCCUGGUGUAGCGGUGAAAUGCGCAGAUAUCAGGAGGAACACCGAUGGCGAAGGC